rnacentral:rRNA from 1 species
UACGGAGGGUGCAAGCGUUAUCCGGAUUUACUGGGUUUAAAGGGUGCGCAGGCGGAUAUGUAAGUCAGUGGUGAAAUCUCCGGGCUUAACCCGGAAAUUGCCGUUGAUACUAUAUAUCUUGAAUGCUGUGGAGGUAAGCAGAAUAUGUCAUGUAGCGGUGAAAUGCUUAGAUAUGACAUAGAAUACCUAUUGCGAAGGCAGCUUACUACGCAGAUAUUGACGCUCAUGCACGAAAAGCGUGGGGAUCAAACAGG